AAUGAACGUUGGCGGCGUGGAUUAGGCAUGCAAGUCGAACGGGCUCCGCAAGGAGUCAGUGGCGAAAGGGAGAGGAAUACGUAGGUACCUGCCUCCGGGUCGGGGAUAGCCACGGGAAACUGUGGGUAAUACCCGAUAAUGUCUCCGGACCAAAGGUGUGACUCCACCUGGAGAGGGGCCUGCGUCCUAUUAGCUAGUUGGCGGGGUAAUGGCCCACCAAGGCUACGAUGGGUACGGGGUGUGAGAGCAUGCCCCCGCUCACUGGGACUGAGAUACUGCCCAGACACCUACGGGUGGCUGCAGUCGAGAAUCUUCCGCAAUGGGCGCAAGCCUGACGGAGCGACGCCGCGUGUGGGAUGAAGGCCUUCGGGUUGUAAACCACUGUCGUAGGGGAGGAAGGACCGGUGAAGAGCCGGUUUUGACCUAUCCUAGGAGGAAGGGUGGGCUAAGUUCGUGCCAGCAGCCGCCGUAAAAC
rnacentral:rRNA from 1 species